AUGGAAAGAUCCGCGCCCCCGGCUGCGGGCCGCGCGUCCCGGGCUGGGAGCGCAGCGGGCUCGGGGAUGGGCAUCCAGCCACUGCAAGGCGGGCUGGGACGGGGACCGCGCGGGGUGGGCCAUCCCGGGUGGGCGCGCGCCCCGGGCGACCCAAGUGGAUCCGGGAUGGACCCGGAGGCGGGCAGCACCGACUGUAGAAAAGUUGUUAACUUUGCUCGUCCCGGAGCCACCGCGUCGAGGCAUUUCCAAAAGAGGGGCGAGAGGUCCGUGGCUCGCCUUCGUCCUGAAUGGAUCGAUAGUUUCCUGUUUACUCACUCCGGAGAGAGCGUGUACGCUGGCUUCCUGGAACAUACCCGAUAUCCUCACCUACCGACCAGAGUGAAUGAGGUGGAGAAAGGGGAAAGCUUGGCCUUUAUCUCCGUUUGUUGCGAAAGAUAACGGAAAUGGAGUCGGGCUGGGGGGCAAGAAGGCCCGAGAUGGAUCCCCCACAAAACUAGGCGUGGUGGCCAGCACACCUUUGAUCCCAGCACUUGGAGAGAUGGAAGCAGGAUAUUCAGAAGUUCAAAGUCAUCCUCGACUACGUAGAGAGUGAGAAGCAACUCUGGACUAAAUUUGACGCCGAGUGAUUGGUGGAUAAAAGUGGAAAUAACCUAGCGUGGUGACUCUCUUUAAUCCUGGCGCUUGGGAAACAGGCAGGGCAGUCUAUGAAUUUGAGGCCAGCCUGGUCUACAUAGUGAUUUCCAGAACAGCCAGAGCUACAAAGUUAGAUGGGGGGGGGGGGAUCUGAAAAAGGAAUUACUCUGAAGCUUUUCUGCAUGGGCACUGCAUUUUACUCUCCUGUGGUCAGGACAGAUACUGCAGUGAAAAGGCAAAAGGAUGAAGAAGAAAAAAAUACUGUUUUUAAAUGUGUCUUUGCCUACCUUGUGAUUUUUUUGUUUGUUUGUAUUUUGGGUUGGUUUUGGUUUUUGGAGACAGGAUUUCUCUGUGUAACAGUCCUCAAACUCACAAAGAGAUUCCCCCUGCCACUGCCUCCAAGUGCUGAGAUUAAAGGUGUACACCACCACCGACGGGCUAGUUACCCCCCCCUUUUUUAAGAUUAUUUAUUUAUUAUAUAUACAGUGUUCUCUCUGCACACCAGAAGAUAGCACCAGAUCUCAUGGUUGUGACCCACCGUGUGGUUGCUGGGAAUUGAACUCAGAAUCUCUGGAAGAGCAGCCAGUGCUCUGAGCUAUCUCUCCAGCCCCAGUUUUUUUGUUUUUGUUUGUUUUUAAUUCAUCCAUAACUUCAGAAGUGGGUCUCCUUCCCAAGCCUUCCUGGGAAGCUGCCAACCUAGGGAAAUGCUCCUGACUUGCUUAGUUUUCAUGGAAACAGUAUCCUGUAGCCAACUGGUCUGAUCUCACUGUGUAUGGGAGACUGUAGUGAAGGGUUACCUUCAUCCUCAAGUCGGUACCUCCUGAGUCCUGGGAUUACAGGCCUGAACCACUCACUAUGCCUGGUUUAUGAAGUGCUGGGGACGAGACUCAAGGCUUCUCAUGCCAAGCAAGCUCGUUACCAGUCUAGUCUCUACUGGGGUUGGGUUUUACCUUAAUACCCAGAGUCCUUUAAAUUUUGAAGCAAGAUUGCCACUCAGGCUACUUUACUGAAAAAUGGAAGUCACAAUCUUAUGGAAAAGUUGUCCUCUACAGACAGUAAGUGAAAAAUAAAAACGUUUAACCUACAACCUGAGUACAGAUAGAAGCUAAGAAGAACUAUUUGGGGCAAGUAUUCACUCUGUAAUAUGGAAUCAUUCGCCUCCCAGCACAAAUGUCCACUUUUUUUUUCUGGUCCACAGUUUUCUUAGAGUUGUAAUUCAAGCAUGCUUUAACAUUGUCUAAAAACUGCACUGUUCAAAACAGAACUAGGGGUGUAGCUCAAUGAUACAGUGCCUGACUAACCUGGGAAAGGGCCUGGACAGUCCCCAACACCACAAACUAAUAGUAAUAAUGACUAAAUGCCUGCAUGUUAAAGAAUCAUGCCUCGUCAUUUCUCCUACUACAGAACACUGCAAGGGCUAUUGGCCAAGAGUCUACAACUGACAUUUUCUCCUUAUCCAAAGAGAUUCCAUAUUUGCAUGGUUCUUCUAGGAUCUUCCAAACCUUGGUUUCCGGACUAUACACUGGGACUGGGGGAAGACAGCUCAGUCAGUAAAGUGCUUGCCUUGAAAGUACGCAGGCUGAGUUUGAUAUCCAGAAUCCACAUUAAAAACCAGGCAAGGGGGCUGGAAAGAUGGCUCAGCAGUUGAGAGCACUGACUGCUCUUCCAGAGGACUGAAGGGACCAGCUCCCCAUUUCGGCAGCCAUGACAGUAACACGUGCUCGCCAUGACCUUGCCUUGGUCACUUAGAGGUCAGAUGCCUGCCUCGUGACAAGGAACCAAUCAGAAGUUAGCUGGUGGUGCUAUGCUUUACAACCCUGCGUGUACUUUAUGGACAAGCACACAGCAAUGACUCACAGAGCAUAGAAACAACCCUGGGAGGGCCUAUGGGACAUAACAAACAGUUGGACAAUCAACACAAGGUAAGCCCUCCAAGCCUGGAGGCACACCAAUCCUGAGCCUGUGGGUACCCCUAGACACUCCCUUUACACUGCCCUACAAGAUCUCUCGGGAGCCCCUAGGAGCUAUCUUUUGUAGCCAACCGCUGUGGUGGGUGGACAAAAGACCCGAGCUAACAUGGGGUUAGCUCGUUAAAUUACAAUAAAGCCUCAUGCAGUUUGCAGUAAGCUCUCGAAUCUGCCUGGUGAUUGGGGUGACUGCGGUCGUGGCCUGGGACCGCAGAUACCUGAGUUUUCCUGGGGUCUAACACUUGCAACCCCAGUGCUGUGAGGCAAAGGAAGGGAAAUCCCUGCCACUCACUGGCCACGCAGUCUAGCCGAAUGAGUGAGCUUCAGACCAACAGAGACCACAUUUCAAAGGAGGAGAGGCAGAUGGCAUUUCUGAGGCUGACACCCAGGGUGUUUUCCAGCCUCCACAUGGACACCCACACAAACACUCACUUGUACAUCUAUACACAACACACAAGUGCACCUGUCAGGGUACACCGUGUAGCGAGGGUAGGUUAAAGAAAGAAGGUACUCCAAGAUGAAAUUUUAAGGCCUAGGUGGCAGCAGGAAGGUCCAGCUUCUGAUGGACUAAACUCCAAACAGCUGUACAAAGGCUUACUUAUUGAACAUUACACAAAAUGUUUCCUCAUACCAUGGUCCCUGAUCUAAUUUACAUGUCUAGAAGGAGAGAUUCACGUGCCCUCAUGACUCUAGUCUUUUAUUAUGUAUCGUUUGCAAUACAAGUAAUACAAGAGCCUCAGGUGUGCCUGAGGCAUCUUGUGACCAAAGUCAUGGGAUGGCUGCAAUUCCCUUUCGGCAAAACAAUCACCAUUUUCCAUAAGGAUUCUUCAAAAAAAAAAAAAAAAAAAAAACACCUAAUAUCUACCCUGAUAAAGUGACUCUGCUAAAUUCUCACAACAUACAUCCUCACAAACUGGUACAUAAACAUGUGUAUGCAUUACAAAAUAAGAGUGUAUACCACAUUUCUCUUCAGCAUCGUUAUCAAAGUAGUUUAGAACAUGGUUUCUUAUUUGUGAUAGCAAAACUAUCAUGGGGAAAUGAUUAUAGCAAAAGGGAAGAGAACUGUCAGAUUUUUCAACAAUCUUAAGAAAAGUUCUUAAGGGCUGGAGAGAUGGCUCAGAGGUUAAGAGCACUGACUACUCUUCCAGAGGUCCUGAGUUCAAUUCCCAGCAACCACAUGGUGGCUCACGACCAUCUUUAAUGAGAUCUGGGGCCUUCUUCUGGCAUGCAGGGAUAUAUGCAGGCAGAACACUGUAUACAUAAUAAAUAAGUAAAUCUUAAAAUAAAUAAAUAAAUAAAUAAAUAAAUAAAAAGACAAGUUCUUAAGAAUGUAC
ensembl:lincRNA